rnacentral:rRNA from 1 species
AUUUUGGACAAUGGGGGAAACCCUGAUCCAGCCAUGCCGCGUGUAUGAUGAAGGUCUUNGGGUUUNANAGCACUUUUGGCAGCGANGCAAAGGUAUCUGCUAAUACGAUCUAUUUCUGACGGUAUCAACAGCAUAAGCACCGGCUAACUACGUGCCAGCAGCCGCGGUAAUACGUAGGGUGCAAGCGUUAAUCGGAAUUACUGGGCGUAAAGCGUGUGUAGGCGGUUAAGAAAGAAGGAAGUGAAAUCCCAGGGCUCAACCUUGGAACUGCUUUUAUAACUGCCGAGCUAGAGUAUGGUAGAGGGUAGUAGAAUUCCACGUGUAGCAGUGAAAUGCGUAGAUAUGGGGAGGAACACCGAUGGCGAAGGCGGCUCCCUGGAAUGAUACUGACGCUGAGGCGCGAAAGCGUGGGGAGCAAACA